CUACGGGAUGCUCCAGUGAGGAAUACUGCACAAUGGGGGGAACCCUGAUGCAGCAACGCCGCGUGGAGGAUGACGCAUUUCGGUGUGUAAACUCCUUUUAUAUGUCAAGAAAAUGACGGUAGCAUAUGAAUAAGCACCGGCUAACUCCGUGCCAGCAGCCGCGGUAAUACGGAGGGUGCAAGCGUUACUCGGAAUCACUGGGCGUAAAGGACGCGUAGGCGGGUUGGAAAGUCAGGUGUGAAAUCCUACAGCUUAACUGUAGAACUGCACUUGAAACUUCUAAUCUAGAGUAUGGGAGGGGGAGAUGGAAUUAGUGGUGUAGGGGUAAAAUCCGUAGAUAUCACUAGGAAUACCUAAAGCGAAGGCGAUCUCCUGGAACAUUACUGACGCUAAGGCGUGAAAGCGUGGGGAGCAAACAGAAUUAGAUACCCCCGUAGUC
rnacentral:rRNA from 1 species